CUUACCCUUUGUGAACAUACCUACAACUGUUUGCUUCGGCGGGUAGGCCGUCCCCUGAAAAGGACGCCUCCCGGCCGGGUACCGGACCCCCUGGUGGGGCCGGACCCGGCGCCCGCCGGAGGAUAACCAAACGCUAUUUUAACGACGUUUCUUCUGAGUGGCAUAAGCAAAAUAAUCAAAACUUUUAACAACGGAUCUCUUGGUUCUGGCAUCGAUGAAGAACGCAGCGAAAUGCGAUAAGUAAUGUGAAUUGCAGAAUUCAGUGAAUCAUCGAAUCUUUGAACGCACAUUGCGCCCGCCAGCAUUCUGGCGGGCAUGCCUGUUCGAGCGUCAUUUCAACCCUCAAGCUCUGCUUGGUGUUGGGGCUCUACGGUCGACGUAGGCCCUCAAAGGUAGUGGCGGACCCUCCCGGAGCCUCCUUUGCGUAGUAACAUUUCGUCUCGCACUGGGAUCCGGAGGGACUCUUGCCGUAAAACCCCCCAAUUUUUCAAGGUUGACCUCGGAUCAGGUAGGAAUACCCGCUGAACUUAAGCAUAUCAAUAAGGCGGA
rnacentral:rRNA from 1 species